rnacentral:lncRNA from 1 species
UCCUUGUAUCGGUGGUUGCAUUCUGAUUCUUAUACUUACUGGUUGAUUUCUCACUUUCUCCUCCGCAUGCCGAUACUGUUACUACAAGGAAAAGAGGGUUCCCUUGGCCCUGUUUCAGCCCUAGUGUCUUGGCCAUUUCUGUUCUUUUCUUCCUUUUAUUCUACCCUAAAAGAUGGAUCGUAGUGAUGCGGUAAAUAAGAGACCCAUAAGUCCUAUCAUCCUUACCCAUAAGUCCUAUCAUCCUAUAGAAAGAGAAAGCACGACAACAAAAACAUAGGCCAAGCAACGACUAGUAGCAUUAGGUUCAUACCGACCCGACUUCUUCAACACCCGGUUCCUGAGGUCAAUUCUGAUCGGUACUGCUUUCAUUCUUUCACUCCAACUGGCAACUACUCAUGUAUAGCGUUAGCCCGGUGAGCUUAGGUCAAUUCUGUAUACGUGGAGACAGGGCUUAGGCUUCUACUUACUAUAUGAAUUCUUUGACUAAUGAGUCUACUUACUAUAUGAAUUCUUUGACUAAUGAGUUUGAUUCCGAGUCUACCCGGUUGCAUUCUGACUAGCUCCUACGAACCACUAGACCAGCUGGACAUAGCAUCAGAAAUGAGAAUAAGGUUCCCACUAGCUCCACCAACUUACUAAAAGGGCCUAUACUAUUAGUUGUGACUUGGCCCCUGACUUGAUCAUUGGAGAAUGAAUAUCUGAGUGUUAGGAUCGGAGUGGGAAGAGCUCGUUUACUGGUUGAAGGCUUGCACUCCUUAGUUUGAUUCUGAGGUAAGCUUAGUUGGAUUCUAUAGCUACCAGUUCCAUGCCACUAACAUCUGGUUGAAGUCUGAGUACCUAGAGGUCUCCUCCGAGCCUACCCGGUUGAAGUCUUUGAUGCACAGGUUUCAGGCUUGUUAGUGAAGUCUUACUAGCACUGAUUUAAGUCUGGUUCCUCCCGAUACUGUUCCAUUCUUCCAUUCCUUAUUCCUAGCCGUGGUAGUCCAUUCUUACACUCUCUUGUUGAAGUCUUGGAAGCAGUCAUCCUAUAUAAGGAUAAUCUAUCAUUUAGUAAGGGUUUCUCUACUGUGUGUCUACUUAGUGGGUGUAGUGGAAAUCCAAGUAGUCUUUCUCUAGAAUGAAGUAAUUAUGCCAGUGUUAAGUCGACUCCCCACUCCUGAAAUGCUGUAUUCCGGGGGUUGAUACCAUAAUUAUUCCCAUCCCUGAAAUGAAGUAUGUAGGGUUUGAUACCCGAAUUCUUCCUACUUCUGUUCGAUUUCUAUCUUCAUUAUUCCCAUUCCUGUUCGAUAGCCUGUUCGAUAGGUUGAUACCAGAAUGAUUCCCACUCCUUCCAUUCCGUAUGUAGGGGUCGAUACCACUCCUGAAAUGAAGUAUUCCGGGUUGAUACCUUAGAACUGAAAUGGAUUCAAUUCAAUAGCUUUUCUCUAUCCUAAGCCCUCUUCUCUUGAUUGAAAAAAGGAGGAAAAUUCCCUUUUUGGUUGCAGAUGUCUCUGUCGGGAUUCACUUACCAGAGAACUCCUGCCGCGCAACGUUAGUAGUUGCUUGCCCGGGUUUCGCUUACUAUUUAGGAGUGAAAUGUUCAAAACAGGGUGUCGGGAUUCACUUACUUUUUUGUCGUGGUUCGCUUACCUUUUUAAUGAGUAAUCUUCUGGUUUUUUUAUGAUUUCUAAUUGAUCGUUUUCCAAGGAACUACUAAUGUGUAGCGGCAGUUCGGAGAUAGAUUUGUUCUAUGCUUAACACAAGCACCCGAGCCCACUUCAGUACUUAUAGCUCCCGCUCCUUAAGCUAGUGUUCGGCUACUAGACCUCUCCUCUUGCUCAUCUCUUCUAACUGACCUAGCCCAGUAACAGACUGAGGGGAAUUAAUACCAAUACCAGUAGCUCACCAACCUGUUCCAUUCUUAGUUUAGUUAGCUCUAUUCUCGGCCUUGGUGGUACUGAUUUGAUUCUUGUCUGAGUGACUUAGGGCUCCUUUUCAUUCUUCCUUUCCUACUUUCUUGUUGAAGACCUAGUUUCAUAAGUUCACCUAUAUAAGAAGAGAGAUUUGGAUAGUGCUUUUUGCUAAUGUUUGUGUACUGAGUUUGUAUAUGAUAAAGAUGAGUAGUCUUUCAGUGAAUUCAGUGAUUCUUAAGGUGUUCAGUAAACUCUCUUUCCAUUCUUAUUGUCUUCAACUUACAAUAAGGGCCCGACCUCAGUUAGAGAUUACUUUACUAGCUGCCUCGCCUCUGGUAAAGCACCGAACCAGCCUAUCCUCUUGCAACUAGCUAAUCUAUUACCUAUCCCUCUGAUCUUGCUCUUGAAACUAACCAUACUCUGGCAACAACUACUGAUGAAACCGGACCACCACUAAUAAGAAUUCCACUCCUCCUCUCUGGCUUCGAUACCUCUGUAAACUAACCACUCCAUUCCUUAGUAUAGGACCGAUAUCUCUUGCUCCAAAGAAGCUCUUAACUACUCUACAACUACAGGCUCGGCUCACCUCUUAGUUGCAUUCUUUUACUCAUGGGUUUAACUCUAACUCCUCGUGUUACUGUCUCAUUCUGUGACUACUCAGUGGUAUUCCUUUCUUAGUACUAUAGCUGCUACUAAAAGACUGACUUCAACAACUACCCACAAAAUAAGUAAACAAGAUCUGUGCAGGAACCAGAAAGUAAGUAAACAAGAUCAGUGCAGUUCACCCCCGGUAUUUUGGAUAGCUUCGUGGGUGGUUGUCUCUUCUACUUACUUGUUUUCUUCCUUGACUCUAUUAAUUAGUAUAGUCUCCGCUUGCCUCAGUUGCUUAGGAGGAUAUAAAGAUGUUAGGUUCAAAUGAGCUAUUUCAACACUGUAGUCCAGGUAGUCCUGUGAGAGUGAGAGUUGCACAGACCUGAGAAGGAUAUUAAUAAGAAACAGGAACCAGCAAUAAUGGGCUAAAUAAGGACUCCCGCCAAGCUUAGACUAGUGUGUAGCGGCAGUCCCUUCUGUUUUCUUAUAUGAAAUUAGACUAUGUUUUCCCUACUAUGUCUGUACUGAAUAGAUACAUAAGAAAUUGUACGACUUUUCUUGAUUAUUUGUGAUUUGAUAAAUUGAUUCAUUUGAUUCCAAGUCAGUAAACUACCCGACCCGGCCUAUCUUUCUGAUCCUGGCUCAGAUCCAGCUACUGUUCCUGUUCGAUAGUUUUCUACCAGAAUUCUUAUCCUCUGCUUUCUACCGGAAUUCUUAUCCUCUGUUUUAUACCUUCCCUUCCAAUGAAACUAGUCAGUAAAGGAAUGUAACAAAAGCACUCCUGGCUCGGCUCGCGUUCCAUUCUGUAAUUCCAAUAGUUAGUACUAGAUGCGGAGAAUAGAUACCCUUAUUACUAGACAAACUACCCGAGCCUCAAACAAAGCCGAUACUUCUCUCUCCUCUUGCUACAACUCCCUAGUAAUUCACUCCUCUUGCUACUACUCCCUAGUCAUUAACUCCUCUGUCAUUCACUCCCCCGUUUAAGCCUUAGAUGCACUGGUUUGAUUCUUGUAUCUCGGGGGCAGUAGUCAAUUGUUGUUAUCGUUGGUCCAAUCCCCAGUCUCGAGUUAAAGCUAGGUCAGUGCCAGGUUGAAAGUCAAGAGUAGGUUUUAUGCCUAGGAUCUCGUAUCACCAGACAAGCCGACAAGACACGUAUAAUGUUUAUUACACGUAUAGAAAGUUUUCAGUAACCAAACACUAUUACUUUGAGCUACAUCCAGCCCACUAGUUGUUUGAUUAAUGACACCAGCUGCCCUUCUAUGAUUAGAUUAGAGCCCAGAAAAAGAAUUCUUGAUUGAAACAAUGAGCCUGCCAUUACAAAAACGGAGACUUGCUUUACUGUUUCCCAGACCCGGAAACCGCCGCCACUAAGAAUUGAGCCACUAACCGAUAAGAAGAAAACCAUCAAAUAGGGAUUUGACUCAUCAGUAGCAUAAUCAAACAUGUCAUAAGGUAUUCAACUUAUAGUAGUAGUAUCGGGAUUGUAUCGGGAUAAGGCUAAUAAGUAGGCAUCAAACUCAUAAGUAGGCAUUUUACUCAGUAGCCUAAGAAGAAACCGAAGAAGUAAUAAUGAAGUAGCGAAUACGCAAAUUAAGCUAACAAUAAAAGGUAGUAAAUAAAGAAUGCAGCUGCUCUCCACAACUACUGCUUUUAAUAACCCACCUAGGAAUAAAGAAGAAAACUAGUGCUGCUAACAAGGACUAAACUCUAACCUAUGAAUUGAACUCACACCUAGGAAUAAGUCAUUUCAGAAGUUCACUCAAAAGGGAGGAAGGAAGAAGUCCCCUAUUAAUUCAGAAUUGAUGCUUACCAUACUAGGGCUAACAAAGCGACUAACACGACUUCAACUAUCAACUAAUGAGCAAAAGACUAAAACACAUGAAACCGGGAUUCACCAACUACAGAUGAAACUAGGGAUUCAACCAGAACAGGAACAGGAGAAGGAUCGGCUCUGUUAACUAUGAACUGAUUUCGCCUCUCUCUCCUCUUGCUACUGACACAAGGGAAAGGGACUGCCGCGUAACACGAAAACAUAGAAAGUAAGAGAACAAACAAAACAACGGUUUAUGUUGUUUUUCUUAUUGUAGUUGUGCUCGAGUUACUUGGCCGGUAUUCAACAACAAUUAGACUUCCACCUAUAUGCUCUUUUGAAACAGGACCACUCUACUACUGGUAUUCAACUCUUCCUCGACCUGGCACUGGUGAUUCUCUUUCUGACCUUGCUUCUAGUAAACCAACUUCCCCGGCUUCCUCUCUUGUUGGUAACUCCACUUCUUGUCCCGAGCCCUGGUGCAUUGAUGGACCACUCAUUAAUUAGAUCUUUUUAUAGGAUUCCAUUUAUGAUUCAACUUGACCAGAAGGAAAGUCCACUCUUAUGAAGCUAGCUCGCACCCCGCCGAGUCACUACUACAGUUUGAUACCAGAAUUAGGCUCAUCCCUCUCCCUCUCUCUACCGACGUCAAAAGCAAAUAACGGAACAAGACUUUCACCUUCAUUGCCCGGACUGCCGCGUCACUCGCAACCCCAAUAGGCUAAACUCAGUACUUACAGCAAUUGACUUAAGGGCAAGAGCAGGUACCUCGCCUCUACUCUGUCAACAAAUACUGGCUCAGUCACUCAACCAAUGCUAUGAACAAGUCUAGCUUCUGUACUUUCUGACUGGAACAGGGCAUUCUCCUUCUUACCUUCCCGACCCGACCUCUACUGUUACUACGGAAAAGAAUGGAAUUGCCGACCUAGACUCUGUAAACAAAUACUUAUUGAAACAAGCAAGCCCAUAAGUUACAGGGGAGCUACACUCAGAAUUCCACUAGUAAGUAAAAGAGACUAGCUACUACUACUGAUUCCACUACUCGUAUACUAGUUGGGGCAAUCACUUAACUUGAAACUGAACCUCGCCCUGGAACUGGCAAUUCUCCAGUGGUCACUACCCUAACAAGCAAGUAAGUCAACCUGCCUACCCAUGCCUAUGAAGUUUAAGUGCAGAACCAACUAUCAACUACUAUUGGAAACAACUACCAUUGAAGUCACAGUAUAAAGCCCCUUCCGCUCACUACCGCUAUAAAGACAGGACUCGAAGUUAAGUCCGUAAGGAUAGAGAGGGUGCGGAAUCUCUUGGGGGGCGAGUGGAGUCUAGUAUAGUAGUACUUAAUUGUCUAGGAAAGUUUCACUAAAGAACCAUAGGUAUAAGAGAAUGGAAUUGACUACUAACAAGAAUGGAAUUGCCUACUAUGGCGCUAUACAAGAGUGUACCCUAGUAUAAGAACGAGUUGACCCUUACCCUAGUAUAAGAACGAACCUAGUAUAAGAACGAGUUGACCCUUACCCUAGUAUAAGAACGAACGAGUGUACCCUAAGUAGAAGAACCAAUUAUUUGAACGGGUUGUCCAUAAGGAGUCACCCUUUAGGAGAUGCACACUAGCGCCUUUAAGUAGUUACUGUAACUAAACUCAUUCAUAUACUUACUUGUCUUAUACUAUCUUAUACUUACUUGUCUUAGUAGUCCCCUAUUCUUAUACUUCUUUCACUAGAUCGUACCUUAUUUCUAUAUUCCUUAGCAGUUAUCAAAGUUUGAAGUGACUCUUCGCCUUAGCUCCUUUAGCCCACGAAGACAGGACUUGGCGCUUUGCGUUUGAGUACUCUUUCUCUCAAUACAGAAUUUAGAAUUCCAAAAAGAAAGAAUCAAACUCAAACAGAAGAAUUGGCCAUACGUGCAAGUUCAAUUACUGGUUUUGGCAAAUUGGCUAAUGCGAGUUAGAAAUGUGUUGGGCAUGGAUCCGGGUCAUAUUCCUUACCUUAGAUACUCGGUACUCUACUCGGGUCGGGGCGCAAGAAUCAAUUGAAUUCCCAGUGGCUUGAUUCUUUCUUGCUCUAUUGACUCUUUCUCUAUUCAAGACCAAACUAGAUUCCUCUUGCCUGGCAACCUCUAGUUACCCGACAUCUAUUCAAUACUCCACUAUAUUCCUCUCGCCUCGCUGGACUUGCUCAUAACUCCAGAGCAGUAUACCGAUCCCUUAGCAAGGCCUGUCUGUCCCUUGUCUAAUUCUUUGACUUGUUCCUUCUACUCCUAGGGAUUAGCUUCCAACUGGCACUGCUAACUUUCAUUCUCAUAGCCCUGUUUGAUAGGCAUAAAAUGAACCAUAAGCUAUAUUAGGUGUAUGACAUGAUCUAUUUCCUAUCAAUCUCACUAUCGGAUGUUCUAGUGUAGUGCAUUUGAAACCAAUAUCUUUAUUGGGAAAGAGAGAGACAAGUACUACUGCUAACAAGAAUAAGUAAGCCGGGAAUGAAUUCAACUAGAUAGCCCUAUUGCCGGAGCCCACCACUCCUAUCUUUUACUCUUAAUUGGUUAUUUCAUUCUGCAAUUAAGUAGUCCUCCGUUAUUUUAUAUUAGAUUGAUUAGCGACAGGGAAUCCAAACACUGAUAAACAAGACUAGAGCCCGGGCUACCAAUACUACUUGAACAAGCAAAUUGGAAUUGAUUACUACCUGAUAAGACUUGCUCCACUGCUUUGAAACUAUAUCUCUGCUUCCACUCCUCUGUCACCUGCUUUGAGCCUACCGCUACUGACCAAAAAUCUUUAGUUGAUCUAUUGGCCUGCCACUAAGGGACUCAACCUAUACUUACUGCCCGGGAACCCAUCAUAACAAAUCUGUUACUUUACCCGGGACUACUAUGCCUACUUGUCAACUUCAGACUAAACUAGGGAUGAAACCAACUACUACUGACAAGGCUGUUACUGCUACUAAUUAGAAUAGAACUGCGGGGAAACAAGCUAAGCUAACCGACUUCAAGACUCUAUCUUAAUAAUCAAGAAAGAAACCGGUAAAAGCGAGACUUGCAUACUAGUAAAUAAGACCUAACUGCUUGGGUAUGGGAGCGGAUCAAGCUGGUGGUGCCAACAAUACUUUAACUACAAACGGGGGACCAACCUACUCUGUGAAACUGCAAUUCCUUUCUUUGAUUCUUCAAUUAAUGUCUAUAAGCCUGUCUUGUCUCUACUUUAUCUAAUUCCGAAAAUCCAUAUCCAUACCUUCAUUCCACCAAGUUACGACUAGACAUACGCGUCAGUUAGUUCUUAACGUGCCCCAGAGCAUUACACUAGAAUUACUAUCAGAACCUAACUCGACAUCCGGGUCCUAUGCUAGUGUCCUCUAACCACCAAGCAACUGACAAGUAAGGAUAUCGGGCUAAGCAUACUUUUAAGCUAAGCAUACUAUUAAUAAGAAUAGAGAAUUGCACUGGGGAUUGAGCUGGUAUGGUACUGUACUGACAAGACUUAUGCCGCUACUAGCAAGAAGAAAAUACAACCCUAGCAGAGUUCCCAAACAGUGGGGCUCCUGCCGCGCAACUUACUAUGUUGCUUGGCCCCCACUUAUCAAAAGAGACAUUUCCAGAUAUGGGGCUGGUGCACUCUCCAAUUCAUCCAAAAUAGCCACGUAUAGCUUUUUCAUAAGGCCAGAGGUUAGCCUUCUUUGCCUGCUGAUCUUAUUACUUUCCCUUUGACCUAUCUUUACUUAGCUCUUGCUUACUUACUCGGUUAAAGGGAGCUCUUCGUAUAGAAGGCUUCUCAAGGGAGCUCGAUGAGCCUGCUGACUCUCUGCUCUUGGAGACUCCCCAUUUGCUGCUGACUCACUACUUUAAGCUCACGCGCAAACUCAACCUUUCUAACACACUCGAACUACACUUUCUUAAUCCUGAGUGUCAGUUGAAAGUGUACUGGGUUCUUUAGAAGAAGUAUAAGAGUGUAUUGCCGACCUAUCUAUUUUUUCUUACUAGCUUCCAUAUACCCUAGCCCUUAUUCCUCUUAUCGAAUUCCUACUCCCGCAUCUAAUCCUUUUGCUUCUCCUGCAACUUUCACUCUAAAGUGAUAUUUGGAUUGAUAGUAGGGGUGCCGACAUUCAAUGGUUAGCGAGAGCAAUAAGUAUGUUUUGAAGAAAAAGAACAAGCCCCACAACACAGUCAGAUUCAAAAGAAAGGGAAGCAGUGCCAAGCCGGUAAGAUGAAUAAGGCCAGAAUCGAGGUUCAGAAAGUGACAUUCGACUUGAAUCUGUCUUAUCAGCUGGAUCUUUAGCUAACACGGUUCUUGUACGGUUGACAGGAAAGUAUACUUGUUUUGUUGCUGCAAGCGGGUGCGGAUCUGCAAGUGUAGUUGAAUUCGGGGCAGAAUCUUAGAGAGAAGAAUCUGUGUCAGCAUCAAUUGGCUCUGGAAGUGAGGUGGAGAGAGAUUAUUGGCGAAAGUAAGCUCGAGGCUUUCAGCACCCGAACCCGAACUCCCAGACGAUGAAACUGGAACGAGAAUCCGCUUAUGCCCUGAACCCGGACCGGACCUUUAGACUCUUCUUUGAUACUCGUCCUUCCUUUCAAAGCCAGCAGCUGCUCCCGCUAGACAAGUGGAUUAGUAUCAUAUUAUAGAAAUGAGGGUAUCAAGUGUCAUUGGAAGAAAACAAGUAAGUAAUUGAACUAUCUUUUACAUCCCCUAUACAAAUAUAAGUAAACAACCAUUUAUACAUAAGCCAAAGAUCAUCUCUCUCUUUUAGAAAGCCGAGAAUCCGCAGGGUGGACCAAAUACAGGUUAACUCUGUAAUAAGACAUCCUCUGCAAGUAGCCUGCAAUUCUAUUACCUUAUCUGGUAUCCGGGGAAACUUCAGAAUGGGCUCGGUAAACAAUAGAGCUGCCCCCUUAUAUACAAGUUAGCAAGACAUUGAAGUAAAGACUAGAUAGAAAGAGCACUUGGUAGGCAAAGAGAGAGCACGCCGGUUGGUUACCAACAUCUAUUAUAGGCUCGGAGGGGAACUCUAAUGAUUCUGGAUCGGGUGAAGAAGCUUGAUAGGGGUUUGAAGGAGGAGCUGUAGUCGAAUCAGGAUCCUUAUUGUAUAGUAUAAGUAAAGGUUUACUUGUUUUAAGUGCUCGUUAAAUCGUAGCUCUAAGUCUGCAAGUAAAGUUCAGCGUUAGAGUAGGGUCGGCAAAAGAGACAGGCAAACACUUCCCAGUUGAUAGGUAAAUUCUGCAAUUGCUAGUUUCGAGGUCAACUAAUUCUUUAAUUACUAUUUAAGGAAACACUUGCAAGAGCUGGAAAGUAUCUAUAAGAAUGCAACUCACAAGUAGGAAAGUAGACAUCAAACAAGUAAAUAUACGCCUUAAAGCAAGCGCCAGGGAGGAAAGAGACAUACCGCCGCAACAAGGCCUAAACAUAGGAAAUAGGCAGAUGUUACUAAAAUCCACUAAUUAGGCAAUAGGCAGAGGGGACUAAUUAGGUAAUAGGCAGAGGGGAGGGCUACUUUGUUGAAUUCUUACUCAGGUAUUCCAGUGAGAGCUUGACAAGUCAGGUUAAGGCUAAGAGGGUCUGCUUGUUGAGGAGUAGCUUGGUUAGCGGAGGAGUUCCCUUGCCCGAGUGGGUUGAAGCAAAGUCCUGUGCCCUUAAUUACUGCUAGCGCAUUCCUUACUUGUUUCAAAUUCCCCUGCUUGUUGAAAUCAGAAUAGUUAUUGUAGUUCCCAUGCUUAGUAGCGGUAAGUCAACUAGUUCAAUGUCCUGUCUUCAUGGCUAAAGUGAAACCUUCUUUCUUGCCGACCUCCGCUAUUGCAACAAAGACAGAUGCUACUAGGGGCCAAUCAACUACUAAUCCAGUUUUUGCCCUUACAGAGAGGUCUCUCCUUUACAGAGCAAGAGAGGGUUCAAUGAUGAGUAGCAAUAGGAGAAGCCGAGAAACAGGCAAUUACUAGUUCGUUCUAAGGUAUAAAACUACUUAAGCAGAGCAGGCCAGAAUACAUAAUUUGCUAGCCAAUGAAGUAAGAAAUAAAGAAUACAGUUUAGAGGAGAGGUAUGGGCAGACUAUCUGACUUGCUUUGAUGCGAGGUCUACUUCCGUAGUUGCUUGUUUAGUAGCAGUAUCAUAAGCUGGAUCAUAAGUAGGAGCCGGGUAAAGGCUUUGUUGCGAGGCGAUAUAGGUCUAAUUCUUAUCUUAAUGAAACUAUGAGUGGUUAGUUUAGACAGAAACCAGAACUGGAGUGGUUAGUUGAAAGAGCCAGAGGAUGGUUUUUGUUGCCGAACACUAGCGGCAGUACUUAUCUGUGUUGGUAGAGUGGAAAGAGACCUUAUUAUAAUUCGUCAAACAAUGAAACCAGUCAAUCAAUACCAGACACCAACAUGUGCUAACAAGGCUUCAAUCAGUGCAUCUAACAACCAGGCAUCUAACAAAUAGACUUCACCCAGGGAGUCACAGAAUGCAACAGUAGGGGCAAGAAUCAACCCAGUGUGAGUCACAGAACGAAACCACUAACAACAAGUCUUCACUCCACAACUACUUCAGAAUGAAACCAAUACCACCGAUUCCCAGCACAGCUUAUGUAUUGUAGUCCACCGAUUCCCUGAUGCUAUAGUACUAAGAUAAGAAUGCAACAUCGACUAAUAAGAGCCGAGCUACUAGUUGUGAGUAUGAGUUUCAGACCUAAUUGAGAGCUCCUAGUUUUGAGUAUGAGUUUCAGACAGGUAGGCCUUGGUCGUUAGCAGUUGCUUGGCGGUCGUUAGUAGUUGCUUGGCCCUUUCUCUCAGUCAAAACCGUGCAUGAGACUUUGCAGGGCUACUACUCCUAAGUAAUAAAAGAAAUCAGAACGUCGAUUAUGUCUUUUCUUAUUACCCUCCUCGCAUAUGUAUAAGACCGAAGACUUGAAACUUCGAAAAUGCAUACUUAGCCUUCACCCUUUCGAGGAAGCCUUCAUCAGUGGUUCUUAAUUACUUACUUAUCAAUCCGAACUACCUUCCAGGAGUAGGAGCAGAAAGAUUGAGAAAUAUCAACAUCUUCUUUCAUUCCUUCUCAAUAGCCAUCAGAUGAUCGGGUUUGCCUUUUUUCAACGGAUGCCACUAUUACACUCGGAGUCUCUGAAGGAGCAGAACCGCAUCCACUUCGAUAAUCCAAUUCUAUAUUAUAUAGUAUACAUAUAAUCAGUACGCUCCUUUGUAGGAACUACCCGUAAUAACGAACUUGAGAAAUGCAAAGAAAGACUCAGAUCUCUCAGUUAAGGGAAGGGAGUGAGUAGAGUUCGGUUCGAGCAAUGGUCUCAGUGUGUGUUGGUUUCAAGUUGUCGUAGAUAGAAGCGGUAGGUAGAAGCGUCGGCAAGUCAGGGUCUCAAAAGAAAGACUAGAAGUUAUCGCCCAGUAGUGCUCUUUUCGCUUGAUUGCUCCGAACAUGUAAUGACGUUACGAUAACGUAUGAGUUAUGUGAGUUCCAGUUUUCUAGGGAUAGAAAUGGAUUGAUACCUUACUUGCAGCAACAGGCUACUCUACUUGAUACGAGACUGCUUGAGCAACACAUUCAGAAGUCUGGGACAGUGAAGAGGAGAAGGUCAACCUUGCAUUCAAUUUCCAAUCAAAGAAGAUAUAUCGCAUGGCACACAAGGAAUCUAUCUCGCAUAUCCAAAAUUUGUAAACUAACCGCAUUGCUUCUGUUGCGUUGCUUGCUUCCUUUGCUAACCCUAUCCUAUAACUCUAUAGUACUUAUUUGUUCCCUUGCCUAAAGCUUGUUUCAGUCACGAGACCCUCUAUGUCACCAAGAGAAUGGAAAACGGCACUUUUCCCCCUGUUCUAGUUUCAUCCGUUUGUCUUAGAGAAUGAGACUAGUUGAAUCCGUUUGUCUUAGAGAAUGAGAAUGGAAAGCUUGGUUCGGGGCAUAAUAUCUUACUCUUACUGACUUGGAAGUUUAAGUAUAAGUGGAAGUGGAAGAAAGAUCUUAAUCAUCUCCGCUUAUGAAUUGCCUGUUCCAGUUUCGUUAGAAGUUCCAUUGAAUUCUGCUUGUUCUGGUGUUAAGGAAAUAAUACAAGAAUCCGCAGUUCGCUUUUCUAUUUGUUUUGCUUGAAAUGAAAUUGGUGACAGAGAAUGCUUGGUUGCAGGACAGUAGGAGUUCCGUAGGCGGGCCAGGAAGAUCUUUUAGUGCAAAAGAGAGAAUAUAGCAUAGAUAAUAUAGCAUAGAGAGUGCGCCACUAUAGAGAUUAGUAAACAACCGACAUUGCUUGCUUUUCCAGACUCACGUUAACACCUCGAAACACUAAUUCGAGUUAGCGCAUUACCCAGAGAGCAGAUAGUGGAAGAGUUAAGUAGCAAGUCAGGGUUCCGGGCAGACGAUCCUAGUGGGUAAAGUAAAGUAGCAAGUCAGGGUGGAGUUCCGGAAGGAAUGAAAAGCAAGUCCUGUGUUUAUGGCUUACGGGGCGUUUAGUAGGCGGAGUCAGAUAGAGGUUAAACGACUCGAAAUCAGGGUUCAGUUGUGUUUAGACUCGAAAUAAGAGUUAACGGAGCGCCCAGCCCUUUAUCUUUCCGUUAUUGUUCAAGCCAAUAACGCCUUUAUUAUAUGAUAUGGUCCAAGCAUGAAAGAAAGUGUAGUUACAGUGUCUGUCAGUUCCAUUUCCAUUCUAGUUGGCAGUGCAAUAGAUUCAUAAGAGUUGCAAGAAAGCCACAUUCCUAGAUUAGAUGGUAUUGGUAUGCGCAAGACAAGAGAGAGAUUCAAUGAAUUCCUGAUGAACCAGUCUUUGCAACAAGAAA